ensembl:lncRNA
CUGACUUUGCUGUUAAAAAUCUAAAUGGCUUAAUUAGUCAAUUAAUAGAGUUAAAGAGAGAUCUUCAGAGUGACAUUGGACAUAUUUUAAAUCUAAUAGAUUUUUUCCCUUAAAUUUUUUUUAAACCAAUAAGAUUCCUUGAAAUUGGAUGACAUGUGAUGUCCAAAGUAUUUGUAGACAAAAAUAGGAUUUGGGUCAUUUUGACUGUACUGAUAUUUUUUGUUUUACAUAUACUGCUGAUAACUUUGUGUGUGCGUGUGUGUGUGUAUAAAAUACAGCUCCAUCCAGCAGAAGAGAUCACACUCUCCUGUACCGAGCUGUGUGUCCAUGAAGAGUGACCAGUCCAUGGAACUUCCACUUCACUUUGCAGAAGGACGUGUUCCGGCUGGUCAGAGGUGAGUAGUAAUGAGGACUUUCCACAGGAAAUACAAUCAUCCAUACAGUCAUUUGAAGUACACCUGAAGUAUAAAAGUGUACAAAUGUGUUUGACUUAUCUUUUAUGCUAGAUAUUCAUAUGAGAUGGGCAGUUCUAUUUUUUUUGAUACAUUUUAUUCUUUUUAUUUGGGCUUCAGCCCUGACAAGUAAACAUUAUAUGUAUACAGAAUGUAUGACCUGUAAAGGUGUCUGUGUCUGUGUCUGUGUCUGUGUGUGUGCGCGCGCGUGUGUGUGUGUGUGUGAAAUACAGCCUCAUCCAGCAGAAGAGAUCACACUCUCCCGUACCGAGCUGUGUGUCCAUGAAGAGUGACCAGUCCAUGGAACUUCCACUUCACUUUGCAGAAGGAGGUGUUCCUGCUGGUCAGAGCUCCAUCCAGCAGAAGAGAUCACACUCUCCCGUACCGAGCUGUGUGUCCAUGAAGAGUAACCAGUCCAUGGAACUUCCACUUCACUUUGCAGAAGGAGGUGUUCCUGCUGGUCAGAGCUCCAUCCAGCAGAAGAGAUCACACUCUCCCGUACCGAGCUGUGUGUCCAUGAAGAGUGACCAGUCCAUGGAACUUCCACUUCACUUUGCAGAAGGAGGUGUUCCUGCUGGUCAGAGCUCCAUCCAGCAGAAGAGAUCACACUCUCCCGUACCGAGCUGUGUGUCCAUGAAGAGUGACCAGUCCAUGGAACUUCCACUUCAUUUUGCAGAAGGAGGUGUUCCUGCUGGUCAGAGGUGAGUAGUAAUGAGGACUUUCCACAGGAAAUACAAUCAUCCAUACAGUCAUUUGAAGUACACCUGAAGUAUAAAAGUGGACCAAAGGUAGGUAUGGGUAUUGUUUGGGUUUUUUCCCAUACUGGUGCUAAACCGAUACUUUUAAAACGAUACCGGUGCCUAAACGGUGCCUGAACCGAUACUUUUUUUUUUUUAAAGCACAAAGCGACGAUUGACGACAUUAAAAAAAGGCUUUUUUUAUUGCCAAUUGAACAAUAUAUUAACUGUUUAAAGUAUAUUAUAAAUAUAAAUACAUACAAAACACUUGGCUUCCAACUACAGCUUCAAACUUUUUAACUUCAAACUAUGAACAUUAUAUUAACUGUAAACAACAGUUUAUAGUAUACUUAAAUACAUAUAAAUAAAUACAAAAAACAGCUUCA